UCAGGAGGAGGUUCGAGUGAAGAUCAAAGACUUGAAUGAACACAUUGUUUGCUGCCUAUGCGCCGGCUACUUCGUGGAUGCCACCACCAUCACAGAGUGUCUUCAUACUUUCUGCAAGAGUUGUAUUGUGAAGUACCUCCAAACUAGCAAGUAUUGCCCCAUGUGCAACAUUAAGAUCCACGAGACACAGCCACUGCUCAACCUCAAACUGGACCGGGUCAUGCAGGACAUCGUGUAUAAGCUGGUGCCUGGCUUGCAAGACAUUCUGGCAAAGACAAGAAUAAAAGCGUCCUGCAGAGCUGAGGUACGCCAUCUCCGGAGGGUCCUGUGUCACCGCUUGAUGCUAAACCCUCAGCAUGUGCAGCUCCUUUUUGACAAUGAAGUUCUCCCUGAUCACAUGACAAUGAAGCAGAUAUGGCUCUCCCGCUGGUUCGGCAAGCCAUCCCCUUUGCUUUUACAAUACAGUGUGAAAGAGAAGAGGAGGUAGGGGCCAAGCCCCCACCCCAUCCCACUCCCCUUCCCUUCCCAGAUAUUUAUGUGAAAUGAACUGCAGCUUUAUUUUUUGAAAUAAAAACUUUUAAAAAGCA
rnacentral:sRNA from 1 species